GAGAAUCCUCCUAGACUGAAGAUGCAAAGAAAAAGUCAAAGAAUCACUCUCUACUCUGCACCCUUCUUGAACCCUCUACAUUCUUUAAUAAUUGCAGUGUUUUCCAGAGGUAUCCAUAAAGGUCCCUCAGUGGCAAACAACAGAACCUAACUCUGGAUGACUUUUGCAGAAAAAAGUUAAUUUGGACGUUUGAAAGUCAGAA
rnacentral:lncRNA from 1 species